rnacentral:tRNA from 1 species
CGUGUUGCGGGCAUCGUAUAAUGGCUAUUACCUCAGCCUUCCAAGCUGAUGAUGCGGGUUCGAUUCCCGCUGCCC